UUCUAAUGUACACUGACUGUUUAGAGCAGCUGGUCUAAAAGCAUAUUCCAGUUUAUCUCUAAACUGUAAAACCACUGCGGUAAUGAUGCUGAUUCAGAUCUCAGUCUCUCACACUUUUACCAGGCAUUGCACAACAGCAGAAGGAGCUGACUGCUAAAAGUCUAUGGAAGGUCUAUGGAAGGGUUUGCAGAGGUAUGGAUGAGCCGGCCGCGGUCUCAGACAAGCCCUAAGCUGAAUGUUGCUGACGGAUGGAGGAGCCAGGCACCAGUGCUGAGAGGAACGUGAUGACGACGUAGGACGGAUGGAUGCAUGGACGGACGGCGUAGGAAUUGUGAAAAGAAGGAGGACAUAAAUAACAGUAUUUAGGCUUAUAAAUUAUAUUGGCUUUUACCAUUUCUAUGUACAGAACCCUGCCUGUUU
ensembl:lncRNA